rnacentral:tRNA from 1 species
GGGCGAUUAGCUCAGCUGGUAGAGCGCUUGCGUCACAUGCAAGAUGUCGGCGAUUCGAGUUCGUCAUCGCCCACCA